CACAAAGUUCGUCGAGAGAAGCUUUUGUGGAAAUAUGUUGAGUGCCCGCAACAACAAGGAGGCACGGAGUGCGGUUAUUUUGUGAUGCGGUACAUUUUUGACGUACUCGCUUCAUAUUUUGGUUCGUUGGAUAUGGACAAAGUUGCUCAAACCUUUACCAAAGAUCCUUAUACGGAGGAUCAAAUCAAUGAGGUGAAGAAUAAGUGGGCAAGAUACUUUGUUGAUGAGUGCAUUGCAUAGGUUAGUUAG